CUCUCCCUUAUUGGCUUCAGCGUUCUUCGGUUGACUGUUGAUCCGUCCGACUACCCUUCGUCUCCGUCUCUUCCACUUCUCCGUUCUACGGAUUGGCUCCAUGUCCCACCACCACCUCCUCUGUUUGCUGCUGACCAGGUUGAGAAGAUCCAGCGUGGCUGCUGCCGCUCCUCGCCGCCACCGCCACCUACUGCUCGGGCUGACUCGAUUUGGCCUCCGGCUUUUGUAAUGAUACGAUGGUCUCGAAAUCUCCCGCGAGGGCUGUGACUUUGUUCCGCCUUGACGCCAGCUUGUGGGCCGCCUCCUCAUUUACAUCAUUUGAUCGUGGAAGUGGCGGCAAGGGUUUCCCUCCUCUCCGACGUGGUCUUUGGAUGACCUAUGGCCUUCCCGAGUGGAAGACCAGCUUUCCCAACUGCCGGAGUCUCGGAUGCUUUCACCGAGCUUGGUUUCAGAGACAUGUUUCCUUUAGACGAUGACGGCUCGCUUUUUGUUGCCCUUUCCUUCGAGUUGCUUGCUGUGGGUGGUCUUUGAAGCAGGAAGGAUGGUGCUCGAACCUUGUUUACAGGUGUUCGAGGUUUUGCAGCGGAACACUUGUUUCUGCUGCUUGGGGUCUCGCCAGUUGGUGGCAUGGCGCGAGCUCAUGGUCGGCUUAAGAUAGUUUGGUGGAGGAGGAGGCUUCUCGGGUAUCGUAGGAAGGUGAAUCCAUUUGGUGGAAGAUUUUGAUGGUGAUUCCCGCAUUUUCAUUGUUGUUUCUACGUGGGGUACUCGACAUAAGGGUUCUUUCUCUGGUGCACUCCUUCCUUAGUUGCAGCCAUGAGCUAAUGCAGUACCGACAUGCAACCCAGAAAGAACUACAAGUAGCAUAACCGAUCGAGCUUAAACAACCACAAAACAAAAUUCCCAUAGUCAAGUCUUUCAGUUUCAUGAAUCUCAAACAACGUUCGAACCACAGACAUUAUGCAAAGUUGUUCCAAAGUUGAGAUGAUGCCUUGUGGCGAGAAAGAUCAAGACAUCUGAUAGGGGUAAUAAUGGCAACAUGACGUGUCAUGACGUCGGCCCCACCUGGGCGCCACUCUGUCCGAGAAGGAGGGCAAUAAUGCUGACUCGACAUGCGCUGAUGUCGUCCGCUCUCAGACAACGACUCCGACCCCGCGCUUGACCAAGGCAAAGGAGGACCACGACCGAAGCUCGCCCAUACCCUACGGCAACUCAGUUCUCCACGCAACGUCUAUAGCAACGUCAGACGCCAUCAGAGAUACGAUCCUGCCCCCCGCAGGCAGGCACAUCAGGUAACACUUAAUCACCCUAUAAAUGCCCCCGAGUUCGAAACGAAAGGGGGAGGACACUUCUUCACCAGAAAAACUCCCUUUCACAUCAUCUGACUUGAUCGUCGGAGGGGUCGGGCCGAGCUUCCGACCCGGCCUGUGUGCAGGAACAAGGGCGAUGUCGCACCUUCCCGGCACCGCGAGGAGGCUUCACCCCCAUGCUAUAUCCCAUUCGGACCACUGUGAUCGACCGCCCCAGCUGCCCCGAGGAGCGCCGCGCCGGAUCCCCGCGCAUUCGGACCCGAACCAAGCCGUGUCAGCCCCGAGGCCACGGCUCAAAGUUGUUUCCGGCAACAACAUCCUUCUCGUGAAAUCCUCGGAUGAAGAUUACAUAGGCUCAGAAGAUGAUGAUGAUGGCUUCUCUUGGUGUGAAUGUAAAGCAACAGACGGUAGAAGGUGGUGAGAGAGCGAAGACCGGAGAUGACUCGGGGCUUUCGCUUGGAAUGGUCAAUGAUAGUUUUCAGGUUGGCUA